GUGUUGAUUUCAAACAUCCACUCUCAACAAAAUGAAACUGGUUCACAAGCUUCACCCAAAGCUACAGUGAGAGUAACACCAGACAAAUCUGUGUUCACUGGAGAGACAGUCACUCUGAAGUGUGAGAUAGAGGAUCAGUACAGUAACUGGAGAUAUCUGUGGUAUAAAGACACAACUGGAACUUCAGUGUUUGAGGGAAACAUCUACACCAUCAGUUCACCAUCAGAUCAGGAUAAGUUCUGGUGUAGAGGAGAGAGAGAUGGACGACCCUCAUCACAGUACAGUGAUCAUGUGACUCUCACUGUUAAAGCUUCACCCAAAGCUACAGUGAAAGUAACACCAGACAAAUCUGUGUUCACUGGAGAGACAGUCACUCUGAAGUGUGAGAUAGAGGAUCAGUACAGUAACUGGACAUAUAAGUGGUAUAAAGACACAACUGGAACUUCAGUGUUUGAGGGAAACAUCUACACCAUCAGCUCACCAUCAGAUCAGGAUAAGUUCAGGUGUAGAGGAGAGAGAGAUGGACGACCCUCAUA